UGGUGCCCAUUCUGGAAUUUUGCCAUCCCUCGUUUGGGGCAUAUUCCAUUAAGACCAUUGGGGUAUAUUUACUUUCACCAAUCAGAUUUUAUCUCACCAGCUGAUUGUCCAACGUAAAAUCAAACUACUACAAGGGUACAAUAGUCUUUUCAUAGAAAUCGACUCGAGGGUUUAGCUAAAGGAUCGCUUAUUCCGGAGAUUAUACUGGGAAAAAGGAAUCAAUUAAUGAUAAGACUACAAAAAAAAAAAAAAAAAAACUGCAAGUCAGAUAAUGAAGGGUAUUAUACAUUUUAAACGCUUAUACACGUCCAGAUACAUUUUCAACGCUUAUACACGUCCAGAUACAUUCUCAAAGGUCAAACCUCAGGAGAGGCAUCCACAAACUACCCCAACCAAACACAAACCAAAAGAUCUGCCUCUGCUGGUCCGGUGGAGUUCCCUUCUUGUCCUGGAUCUUAGCCUUGA
rnacentral:lncRNA from 1 species